rnacentral:sRNA from 1 species
UCAUUAUAGGGAUUCUCUACUGUCAUUAAUCACUUAAUUUAAGUUAUCCUAACCUUUUCGUGACCAAACCAUGUAAAUAAUUAUUUUUCCCUUUUCCUAGUUUUAUAUCUUUGAAGAAUCUAUUCACUCUACCUUGAGUGUCUUAAUAUUUCUCUAAAUUAAUUUUUAUAUAUUUAUUCAGAAUAUACUAUUUACUUAUUUGGGGCUAUGUAUUUAACAAGAAACUCUUUAAAGUUGAAAUUUAAGUUAAUCUGUGUUCUCAUUUAAUUUUAGGUGACUGAACUUGAAUGUGUUAGUAGCCAAGCAAAUGCAGUACAUACUCAUAAGACAGAAUUAAAUCAGACAAUACAAGAACUGGAAGAGACACUGAAAGUGAAGGAAGAGGAAAUAGAAAGGUUAAAACAAGAAAUCGAUAAUGCCAGAGAACUACAAGAACAGAGGGAUUCUCUGACUCAGAAACUACAGGAAGUAGAAAUUCGGAACAAAGACCUGGAGGGACAACUGUCUGACUUAGAGCAACGUCUGGAGAAAAGUCAGAAUGAACAAGAAGCUUUUCGCAGUAACCUGAAGACACUCUUAGAAAUUCUGGAUGGAAAGAUAUUUGAACUAACAGAAUUACGAGAUAACUUGGCCAAGCUACUAGAAUGCAGCUAAGGAAAGUGAAAUUUCAGUGCCAAUUAAUUAAAAGAUACACUGUCUCUCUUCAUAGGACUGUUUAGGCUCUGCAUCAAGAUUGCACAAAAAAAAAAAAAAAAAAA